rnacentral:rRNA from 1 species
GAUGAACGCUGGCGGCGUGCCUAAUACAUGCAAGUCGAGCGAACAGACGAGGAGCUUGCUCCUCUGACGUUAGCGGCGGACGGGUGAGUAACACGUGGAUAACCUACCUAUAAGACUGGGAUAACUUCGGGAAACCGGAGCUAAUACCGGAUAAUAUAUUGAACCGCAUGGUUCAAUAGUGAAAGACGGUUUUGCUGUCACUUAUAGAUGGAUCCGCGCCGCAUUAGCUAGUUGGUAAGGUAACGGCUUACCAAGGCAACGAUGCGUAGCCGACCUGAGAGGGUCGUCGGCCACACUGGAACUGAGACACGGUCGAGACUCCUACGGGAGGAAGCAGUAGGGAAUCUUCCGCAAAGGGCGAAAGCCUGACGGAGCAACGCCGCGUGAGUGAUGAAGGUCUUCGGAUCGUAAAACUCUGUUAUUAGGGAAGAACAAAUGUGUAAGUAACUAUGCACGUCUUGACGGUACCUAAUCAGAAAGCCACGGCUAACUACGUG